rnacentral:rRNA from 1 species
CGUACUUUUGUGUAGUGCGAUGUGGGGACGGAGAAGGUUAGGUCAUCAGACUGUUGGAAUAGUCUGUUUAAGCCGGUAGGCGUGAGGGGUAGGCAAAUCCGCCCUUCUUUAACGCCGAGACGUGAUGACGAGGGUCUACGGACCUGAAGUGACUGAUACCACGCUUCCAGGAAAAGCCACUAAGCUUCAGCUACACAAGAACCG